rnacentral:lncRNA from 1 species
GGCAUUUAUGGAAGCAGUUGACACACUCCAGCCUCAGCCAGGAAUGGCACAGAGUGUCAUCAGGGCACCCGCCAGGGCUCCACUGGGGAGGACAGGUUCGGGGAGGGUAGGCCGGGCCCACCAAGAGGCAAGCGCCCCCAGGGCCUGAUGGGAGCAGCAGACACUGGCUCUUGGUCAUCUCCGUGGCCUCACCUCCACCCUGAACAUCCCGAGGGGAGCUCCAGAGGCCCCUUCCCUUCCAGGAAUGCAAGAAACGGACCCCACCGAUGGGACAUGGUGAGCCCUCAGGUGCGAAAGCUUCAGGACGCUGUUCAGCUCCCUGCACUUGUCAGAGUUCCGUGUGCCUCGUGGGGAGAGCUGUGGCCUCCCACAUCCCGACCUCCGCAUAGCCCACGAGCCACCUCCGGGACCAGCUGGGUUGCUUCCACUUUGACUCCGAAAAGAGGACCAGCAUCAAAUGGCAUUAACAAAGGCGGUGUCACCACCGCAGACCACAAGCAUUGACUGUCUGUGAAUCUGGAAGGGCGCCCGCCAUCUUCAGCUGAAUGGAAACUGAAGGUUGCAGAGCACCAGGGAUGGGAUGAUCCCAUAUGGGUAAAAAAGAAACAAAUAGAGCAACAUUUUUAAAAAGCAAGCCUUCCACAUGUGUGCUUUGUGUUUGCUGGAACACGGGGAGGAGAGUGGGGAGGCUCGACCUGUCUCUCCUGGGGGUAGGGAGCCAGGAAACGACGGUCUUUCCCUUACGCG